rnacentral:rRNA from 1 species
UACCGGGCCCUACGGGGCGCAGCAGGCGCGAAACCUUUACACUGCACGCGAGUGCGAUAAGGGGACUCCAAGUGCGAGGGCAUAUCGUCCUCGCUUUUCGCGACCGUAAGGUGGUCGCAGAAUAAGUGCUGGGCAAGACCGGUGCCAGCCGCCGCGGUAAUACCGGCAGCACAAGUGAUGACCGCUAUUAUUGGGCCUAAAGCGUCCGUAGCUGGCCACCCAAGUCCAUCGGGAAAUCCGCGUGCUUAACACGCGGGCGUCCGGUGGAAACUGGRUGGCUUGGGACCGGAAGAUCCAGAGGGUACGUCCGGGGUAGGAGUGAAAUCCCGUAAUCCUGGACGGACCACCGGUGGCGAAAGCGCUCUGGAAAGACGGAUCCGACGGUGAGGGACGAAAGCUCGGGUCACGAACCGGAUUAGAUACCCGGGUAGUCCGAGCUGUAAACGAUGUCUGCUAGGUGUGACACAGGCUACGAGCCUGUGUUGUGCCGUAGGGAAGCCGUGAAGCAGACCGCCUGGGAAGUACGUCCGCAAGGAUGAAACUUAAAGGAAUUGGCGGGGGAGCACUACAACCGGAGGAGCCUGCGGUUUAAUUGGACUCAACGCCGGACAUCUCACCAGCAUCGACAACGUGCCGUGAAGGUCAGUGUGAUGAGCUUACUGGAGCCGUUGAGAGGAGGUGCAUGGCCGCCGUCAGCUCGUACCGUGAGGCGUCCUGUUAAGUCAGGCAACGAGCGAGACCCGCACUCCUAAUUGCCAGCAACACCCUUGUGGUGGUUGGGUACAUUAGGAGGACUGCCAGUGCCAAACUGGAGGAAGGAACGGGCAACGGUAGGUCAGUAUGCCCCGAAUGUGCUGGGCGACACGCGGGCUACAAUGGCCAAGACAGUGGGAUGCAACCCCGAAAGGGGGCGCUAAUCUCCGAAACUUGGUCGUAGUUCGGAUUGAGGGCUGAAACUCGCCCUCAUGAAGCUGGAUUCGGUAGUAAUCGCGCCUCAGAAGGGCGCGGUGAAUACGUCCCUGCUCCUUGCACACACCGCCCGUCAAAGCACCCGAGUGGGGUCCGGAUGAGGCCACUGCAACAGUGGUCGAAUCUGGGCUCCGCAAGGGGGCUUAAGUCGUAACAAGGUAGCCGUAGGGGAAUCUGCGGCUGGAUCACCU